rnacentral:rRNA from 1 species
UACGUAGGUGGCAAGCGUUGUCCGGAUUUAUUGGGUUUAAAGGGUGCGUAGGCGGCCCUGUAAGUCAGUGCUGAAAUACCCCGGCUUAACCGGGGGGGUGGCAUUGAUACUGCAGGGCUUGAGUACAGAUGAGGUAGGCGGAAUUGACGGUGUAGUGGUGGAAUGCGUAGAUAUCGGGAGGAACACCAGUGGCGAAGGCGGUUACCUGGAGCUUUGCUGACGCUGAUGCGCGAAAGCGUGGGGAGCGAUCCGG